CCCCAUUCCCGCCACCAUAGCCCUGCUUCAUCGAUGAUCACUCAUCUGGCCUCUGUGUGUCAUAAUGGGGCUACUUCUCAUGUCAGUAUGUGUAGCUAGAUCUAUGCUCUAAUGUAUGAGUGGCAAGAUGUCUGAUGAUCCAAAUAUCGAAAUAUACCAGAGGCCUGCCCCUGACUGGAAGAUGAGAUCCUCCAAGAAGUUCCUCCCUUUGUUGGAACUAGAUCUGGUCGCAGCUCCACCAUAGGUGUAAAGUAAAGUAGUGCCCACCAACCAUGUUUAUCUCCAGCAUCCCUCAUCAAAGGCUGAUUCCUGUGUCUUGCUGUCUAAUUACGUUUGAUCCCAGGAAAAGAGGGGGUAACAGAUUAAAGAGCUGUAAUUCCUAAACCGUUCCUCCA